AGUUGAUAUAAAACUAUCUGGAAUACCCGGAAAUUCUGGCUCUAUUAUGGAAGAAAUGAGCUGCAGCAGCAACCGGGUAAACUAACCUGGUGGCCAGAGGGAUGGCCAAGACAGAGGAAGCCAGGAGGAAUAAUCUGAAGAAAAGCAAAGGUGUGGGACCUGCUGGUACUUCGAGUGUAUUAUCUGGAGAGAAAGAUCCUUCCAAUUGCACAGUUUGUCAGUGUGUCAGCUACACCUGUUCUGUCAAGCACUGCGUACUUCAAACUGCAAAAACAGUAACUUGAAUGGUGGCAGCAGCUGCAGCUGCAGCAACAGCAGGAUGAACAGCAACAGCAGGAUGAACAGCAACAGCAGGAUGAACAGCAACAGCAGGAGGAGCAGCAACAGCAGGAAGAACAGCAACAGCAGGGACACUAGUCAUAAUUGGCAUCUGUAUAGCUGGAACAGCCCUCAGCUCCUGGAGAGAACUCUGCGAGUUUGUUGUGGGCCAAAUGAAGCUGGAAGGCCACCUCCUUGCGUUCCAUCUCUUGCUGGUCUGUGAGCUUCUUCAGGUUUGACGCCAAGACUUGUGCCGCCGACCUGUGCAGGCUGGCGAAGUCAUGCAGCCACUGC